GAAACGGAAUCGCUGUCC
rnacentral:sRNA from 1 species